GACGAACCGUGCGAACGUUAUUCGGAAUCACUGGGCUUAACGGGCGCGUAGGCGGGUCGGUAAGUCAGGGGUGAAAUCCCACGGCCCAACCGUGGAAGUGCCUCUGAUACUGCCGGCCUCGAGGGGGAUAGGGGCGUGCGGAACUCAGGGUGGAGCGGUGAAAUGCGUAGAUAUCCUGAGGAACACCGGUGGCGAAAGCGGCGCGCUGGAUCCCUUCUGACGCUGAGGCGCGAAAGCCAGGGGAGCAAACGGG
rnacentral:rRNA from 1 species